UGCAAGCCAUGGAAACCCUAACAAGCUAUGCCAGAAAUUAAGAUCUACUGAAUGAGCACAACAAAAACUCAGAUUCAAUAGAUCUCAGCAGAGCAGGAGUAUUUCGAGCAAACUCCACUCGACCAGUCUUUGGAAAUCAUUUCUCAGAAGAUGCACAUGCCGUGUGUUGCUGCUGAUUUUUGAGUUUGUAAUCAACCAAACACUAUGCUUUUCAUAUGUUCAUCUCUGCACUUCUUCAGGUCCCUUCUUUUUUUUUUUAUUCUAGCAACUUAACUUCUACUGCAUCCUCUAAUAGUUUCAUUAUCCAUUCAAAAUAUUUUUUUAUCUCAGCUAUGUGAUAGCUGAGACAUGUUAUUUAGACAAUUAGCCAGAUUUGUAUUGGAAGAUGAAGAUGCAGCCAAAAGGGUCUGACGGACUCCUUUUACCCUACAUGGAAACCAGAACUACAUAGAGAUCCCUAGAGGCAUUGCAGUGGUUGGGACAAUGUAUGGGUUGGUUAUGAUUGGAAAUACAAUUCAAGUUGUGCAGAGCCCUCCAAUGCAGUCUGGGAUUUUCAAAUCCAGUCUCUUUUUUUUAUCUUUCAUCACUCUCUCUCUUCACAGCUUGCUCAAUAAAAGGGAAAAUGAAGUUGUCAGUGUUGUAAAUACAAUUCUGGUGGUAUAUUCAAGGUGUAAGUGGUCACUGGUCAAGAAUAUGUGUGCUCUCAAAAGAAACAGAGGAAGCUGAAGAGUAGCCCAUAUUCUGCUCCAAACACAGACCUGGCUCUCUCCUGAUCCUUCGAGCUGAGGUUCAAUGUGGAAGGACGAGAAACCAACCAUGGUCUCAUGAGAAUUUUCAAUGAUCCUUCCAAGGAUAUAACGUUCUAUGUGGAGUUGAAAUACUUUCAUUUGUUUAAAGCUGCCAAAGAAGGAGGAUGGUUGGGACUACAAUACUGUUUAUAUAUGGUUUGAUUUCUUUCUACACCAUAAUACUCCUGCGUUACUGUCUCGACAGUGAGUUUGACCUCAAGACCUAUCCCGACAGUGCCCAAGCUGCGUUUCUACCACGUGACGUAUCUUUGUCUCGGUAAGGGGCUAAUAUUUUCAAAAAGUUCUGAAUCUACCUUUAUAGUAAAGGUUAUAAAAGUUAAGAACCAUAUAACAGAAAUAUGAUUUGCCUUUGGGCUUUCGAACAAAUGGAACAACUGAAAAGCUAUGGGUAGCAAGUAGAUCAGUUAGUAAAUCUCUCACUAAUAAAUCCCUAAUUGCUAUCAGAAGUCAAUAGUACAAUACUAUAAGCUUAUACUAUGUUUCAUCAAAUAUAGCGAUAGAAUAUUACACUUAUGUGCUUAGUGGAGAACACUACUCUCCUUUGUAGUAAAAUUAUAAUAUAUUUAAAAAAGGUAGAGGUUAUUUCGUAGAGAUUCCAUCAUUAGUAAUGGAAUCUUAUAACAUUUAUACAUAAUAUUUUGUUCAUAUUCUUUUUUUUUUAAUGUAUUGCAGAUAAUUCUCUACUUGGAGCAGUACACAAGUACCUUCUCCAUUCAUCCAAUAAAUGACUUCAGUUUAUACUUUCUCAACUCUGUCUGUCAAGAAAAAGUGCAUAAUUACAGGAUUCCAAGUGGGGUUAAAACACACAACAGAAGAGAUCUUGAAGUAUGUAGAAUCCAUAGCCCCAUCUCCCAUGUCGUGAAACAAGUGAGCAUCGGGCCCCAUAGAUGAGAGCAUUUAAACAAAUCCAGUUUUCCAUUUUCGAUUCUUCUUGCAUGAUCUCCAUUUUAAUUGUGUGCAUGUUAGUCGUGUGUUUGAUCAUAUCCUUUUGUUUCGCGUACGAUAUUAUUAGGCUUUCAGUCAUUGUUUAUUGAUUAUUAAAAUAUCAGUCCAGCUUCUCGAUCCAUUGUUUCAAUAAAAAGAUUAUAUCUUUGGUC